UACGUAGGGGGCGAGCGUUGUCCGGAAUCAUUGGGCGUAAAGCGCGUGUAGGCGGCUCGGUAAGUCCGGUGUGAAACCUUGGGGCUCAACCCCAAGCCUGCACUGGAUACUGUCGAGCUUGAGUCCGGGAGGGGAGAGCGGAAUUCCUAGUGUAGCGGUGAAAUGCGCAGAUAUUAGGAAGAACACCGGUGGCGAAGGCGGCUCUCUGGAACGGUACUGACGCUGAGACGCGAAAGCGUGGGGAGCGAACAGG
rnacentral:rRNA from 1 species